rnacentral:lncRNA from 1 species
GCGUUGUGGCGCCCCCUAUCCUAGGCGACAUUCAAGAGGUUAAUCUAACUUGUUGCUUAGUAACACUGGACAUUUUACCCCCAUCUAGAGGUGCAAGACAGGAAAACAUGUAUGUACUACAGUUUCUAAAUCGUUCCUGCCCUAUAGGGCGCACUGGUGAGUCUAUUUGGCCUCAUCCUCUGUCUGAGCUCUAUUGCAAUUUGCCACGUAAUCUCCCGAGUUCAGAGCACAUGCCGCGUUCACUUGCUAGUCAGAACGAGGAAACUCGGAAACUUCAGACUUGCUAAGUGGUUGUAGUUGCUGUAUACACGUGUCGCGUUCAAGCAGUUAUAGCAAGUCGGAAAUGUCCGAGUUUCCUAGUCCCGACCAGUAAGUGAACGCGGCAAUAGACAUAGGUACAAGGGGCAGUCUGCGGAAUGAGUAGCAGAGCAACAGAAGCUUGGUGAAACUGGACCAGAUCACACGGGCAAAACCGAGGCGCAUAACGUUACAAAUUCAAGGUGGAUGUUAUUUUCUUGUGAAAACAUUGGAACGUGGAUAUUGUUAAUUGAGUAGGUGCGUGCCAGUGGUGUUGGCGAGCAAGUGGACCACCACCGACUGCACCUCCAGAACUGUAGAGGGAGUCACUGCACCUGCAGGAUUUGGCUGAGCCUAGCUGAGUGCUGCAGUGUGUCCACCCAGGGAGGGAACCACCAUGAGGCAGCUGAAGGGGAAGCCCAAGAAGGAGACGUCCAGGGACAAGAAGGAGCGUAAGGCGGCCAUGCAGGAGGCCCGGUCGCAGGUGGCCACAGUGGUUCUACCCACGCUGGCUGUGGUGGUGCUGCUCAUCGUAGUCUUUGUCUACGUGGCCACCAUGCCCAGAGCCAUAGAGUAGUGACCGGUUCCACACCCCUCACCUUGGCCCUAACCCCUCAAUGUUAGUAUGUCUGUAGGUUCUUAAUAGGUGUAAGCAGUGUCAGGGUUCUCCAACGCUGUUUCUGGAGAGCUACCAUCCUGUCGGUCUUCACACCAACCCUGUUCCUGGAGAACCUAAACCUACAGGAUGGUAGCUCUCCAGGAACAGCGUCGGAGAACCCUGAGCAGUGUAGUAGUAAUUCCACCAUAGGAGCAAUAUCUAAUAGAUCUGGGCCAAGGGGAAGGGUAGGGACCGGCUCUAAGAUGGCUGGGCCCCAAUGGGGAUGCAUGCCCCUGCCCUACCACCCUGGACUGGGUCCCAAUUUACCCAGAGACUUGCUGCACCCAAAGGAUGACCCCAACCACCCCUUCCCCUGACUGCCAGCUUAACAUGCAUAUAGACCUUUUCUGGUCACUCAUCCCAUCCUCACCCCGUUCCACGUUUUCGCUCUCAUCCCUUUCUCUCAGAUCGAUCUGUCUGUCUGUGUGGUCCUCAGAGACCUGCCAUUUGUCUUAAUUGAUGCUUCCUCCCAAGUGCAGUUUUGCCACUAGAGAAUUGAGCUGCAAAAAAAGUAUUACAGUAGUGGCUUCAUAGGUGCCUUUUGAUGGAUGAUGUGUGGCAACUAAGGCAGCCAUGUUGGCUCAAGGGCAGAACUUAUAUCCAUUACAUCAGUGUUUGCCAACCCUGGUCCUCCAGUACCCCCAACAGUCCAACCCUGGUCCUCCAGUACCCCCAGGGUUGGACUGUUGGGGGUACUGGAGGACCAGGGUUGGACUGUUGGGGGUACUGGAGGACCAGGGUUGGGGAAACACUGCAUUACAUGUCUAUCAAUCACUCUGUAACGACGGUAGGAUUCAUUUUGGCUCUGGUGCUGUCUUAAAGAGUUUCAAUUUCCUGUUUACAAGAGGACUUUUAGGGCAUAGCUUGCCAAGUUUGACCUGGGGAUGUUUUAAUCAGGCGAAAGGUUGAGGACGUGUGAUAAGAUGAAUUAAUCUACUGGCAUUGUUGAGCAAUGUGUUAAGAUUAUAGUCACAUGACAAAGUCCAGCAGUCCAAGCUAUGUCUGUAGAAUGUAUACAUCCACAAAUGUGUGAUUUGAAGAAAAAGAAAUGUAUUUUAACAUGCCAGCAUUGGUCCUGUCUGUUCGAAUAGUUGAAUGCAACUCAGGAUUUUGUCCUGAUUGAAUGUGGUGUUUGUACUGGACAGAUUGCGAAUAUGUCACAGGAGAACAUAAUGACACUAUUCCAUGUACAAUCCCAGCGCUACACACUUUGUACCUUUUUUUUAAGCUACUGACAACUUUGACUUUUGAGUUGCUCAGUAUGACAUCUGUGCAGAUGAGGAAAAUAUGUGCCUUAUAAUGUUUGACAAUGAGCCUUUUCAGUUAAUAAAGAAAACUGAAAGACUUGUUUGUUGUUCUAGUCCCUUCAAACUCUAUUCUAGACCUCGAAGCCAGUUCCACUGCUUUUUCCCCCAUUGUUCCCCUCUACUCAGGGACUGCUUUAGGCCGGGGACACCAGGUGGGUGCAACUAAUUAGAGUAAAACAGAAAAUCAGAAGACUCUGGACCUCGUAGGGUAAGCGUUGAAUACCCUUGCUCUAGUCUAUUUGGUGGCAUUGUGUACCUUUACCCAUGUGCAGUAAUGCAGAUGGCGCAGUAGUCACCUGGCAUCCUCUAGGAACACUGAAGAGCACAGAGUCCCUGCUGUAUGUCCCUGUUGCCCAAGGUCUGACUUGCUUUGGAUGAGGAGUGGUUUUAACAAACCCAGUUGUGUGCUCUCUCCUUGGUCAUUGUCUCUGUGGUGCUAUGC